UUGCCCUCAGCGCAGACUGGUAGCAAAAUGGUGAGAAAUACAUCGGACAACAGAGGGAACAAGGUGGACCUCAUCUGAUCAGUUGAAGUCUUGAAUAGAAUAAAAAGACUGACCCUCCCACGAGUAAGAGGGAAUCUCGCCUGCCUACCUGCCUGCCUUCAAACUGGGACAUUGGUUUUUUCCUGCCUUUAGACUCAAACUGAUCAUUGGCUCUUUGUGGGAUUCACGCCUGGCAGCCUUUGGACUGGAAAUACACCAUCAGCUCUCCGGGUCUCCAGCUUGCCAGCCCACCCUGCAGAUCGUGGGACUUGUCGGCCUCCACAAUCAUGUGAACUAAUUCCUUAUAAUAAGUCUCUUUCUGUAUAUAUAUAUAUUUUUUAUUGGUUCUCUUUCUCUCGGGGAUCUUGAUUAAUUCGGAAGGUGAAAGGUGCAUCCGUUGGGUCUACUGCUUUCUCUGGCCAGCACACUGUGGUAGGCAGAAUUCUCAAAACAGCCCCCGAGGUCCACACCCUAAUCCUGAGAACCUGUGAAUGGGCUGAGAUCCCACUCCUGUGAUGCUCUGGUGCUAUGUGGCUCACUGGAUCUUAAAAUAGAGAGAUUGUCCAGGUGGCCCUAAUCUUAUCACAUAAACCCGGCUAAAGGCAGAGAGUUUUCUCUGGUUGGAAGGGUAGUGGAAGUCAGAGGAUUAGCAUGAGAGGGAGUCUAGAUGAGGGGUCUUGCCACAGGCUGUGAUGCUGUGAUGGGGCCUGGAAGGAAGCCUCUGGAAGGAACUGUAGAUGGCCCAUAGAAGUUGAGAGUGACUCCUGGCCAACAGUCAGGAGACAAAGACCUCAGUCCUACAACUGCAAGGAACUGAAUUCUGCCAAACCUGAGUGAGCUUGGAAGCAGAUUUUCCACACAGCCUGCAGAGGAGCACCCAGCCUGCUGACAUCUUGACUUCUGCCUGGAGAGACCCUAAGCGGAGAACCCAGGAGGACCCACCUGGACUUUGGACCUAUAGGAUUGGGAUAAUAAGUGGGUAUUGUUUUAAGAGCCAGUGGUAAUUUGUUACACAGAGUAGAAAACUGAUGCACAUAGACAAAGAGAUGUGGCUUCCUAUGGCAGCACUAGCAGAGAUUUAGGGGUGAGUCAUUGGUGUCAAGAGGCAGGCUGUAGGACGUCUGUUUCAGCAGGUAUAGUGACUCUGGAGCCAACAGUGCCAGUGGUGGCCUUCCUGUUUCCAGCUUUCCCAUUGUGGCAGAGGUUGGGGUUACUCUGGUAGGACAAUUCUACUGUGUUGCCCUUGGAUUCCAGGAGUGCC
rnacentral:lncRNA from 1 species